AUGUGUUUUGGCUAUCAACCAAGACCGGCGUGCUUUGCUAAGGAGCAGGGGGAGCACCUCAGAGCAGAGUUGUUUGAGAUUGAGGCUCAAGCAAAGUCCGACCUCGAGUAUGCCAGAUCGCAUGGAGUUAUCAAACCUAGAGAGGCGAGGCCUGGCUGUACUGGAGUUGACUGCCCACAUGAAGGCAACGACGAGGAGAGGAAGGAUCGUGUGCGCAGCUUAGCAGCGGCUGCGCUUGCUGUAGUGGAGCAAGCUAUGGACAAUCCAGAACUCUUUGAAGGAAUAUUUGACCAGGCCAGAGCAGUGCUUUCGGGACUAGGUGUUGAAGGAUAUACUGGAGAAGAAGUACCUCGGAUGAAUGGAAACGGCAACAAUACACCGCAACGUGAGGAAAAUGAUGGGAUCAAUUGGGAGGAUCUAGAGAGGGAGAGCCAGGAACUAGUGGAACUCGAAAACUGUCAGCCAUGCACUGAUGCACAACUGACCAUCGUCGCCCCUGCUGUCAAUGGUGAUAGCAUCAGCUCAGGGGGUCCUUAUGAUGGAGAGCGUGUAGGAAAUACACUUCAGGGUGACGUUGACAGCAACAGGGAAAUGUCGGUGGAUGAAGCAACUGAUGAUGCUUUGUUGGGUGUAUCAUCGCUGGAACCAAGUGAUUAUAUGGAGGAAGAAGAGGACGGGAUAGAGUUGGACGAUGAGUUCCUGGCUGUGGCAACACAGGUGCCCAUAGAUUACACGAUGCAUGAAGAGGAACUAAAUGAGGAAAACAAUUUGGUUGGCCUUAAUAACUUAAGGGGCAUGCUUGCUGCACUGAAUACAUGCAUCAGAUGGGUAGCAUGGAUAGCAGCAACGAUGAUGGUUGGGAGCGCAAGGCCGGGAGAUGAUGAAGAUGAAGACCCUCCUCUCAAUGGUCAAAUCUUGUUGGGUUGGCAUGGUACUGAAUACCGAGAAGAUGCCCGUCCCAGUAGACAGGAACUUCUUGCUCGAGUCCAGCAUGCGACCCGUCCGCACGCACUAGAUGUUCAGACAUCAUGUCGGUCUGCACCUUCCUUUUAUCAUGAUGGCAGAGAUGGUGGUGAUGAUCAACCUCCUGGGAGUGGGAUGACAUUGCCAGAGGGUGGGUCAGCGUCUCGCUUUCAGCAAGCAAUUAUCAAGUAUCUUCAUGCCUGUGCGAACCAUGAGAAAACACCUACCAGUGUGGAAGCCCGUGAGCGUGCAACCGAGCGUAGUGAUGCAGGAGAGCUUGGACCACAUGUCACAACUCGUCCGCGAGCCUUGGACGUGCAAACAAACUGUCGUCCUGGACCUUCAUUCCGUCGUGAUGAUGCUGAUGGAGGCGACGGGAAGGCUCCUACCAAUAUGUUGCCAUCUGGAGCUGGUGGUUCAACCUCUCGUUUCCAGCAAGCAGUUCAGAACUAUCUGCACCGGUUUGGGAUUAAAUACACAGUGAAUACCACGGGUAAAACACAUGAUGUAUCACGUGAAGAUGGAUACACAAAUGAGCAGGUCGCUGUUAGGAGAGAUUAG
rnacentral:rRNA from 1 species